rnacentral:lncRNA from 1 species
UUAGGAGGCAUCACUAUACAGGAGAGUCCAUUCCAGUUCCAGCGGGGUCCUCACCCUACCCCUACUCCCUGGGAGUCACACCUGUGAGCUCUUGGUGCAGGUCAGAUUCCUGAUCCUGGCUCCCUGCAUUUCAUUGUCAACCUAUGGCUGCACACACCACUGCAGAUGCUGAAGACACCGUCUUGGCCACAGGGAAGACUGUACUACUGAGACUACAAGACUGAGCCUGCCUUUUGAUUGGUCAAUGUUGCUUUUCCCUUGGUGGGAGAUGAACAAGAAAACAGACUGGGGACUCAAAACACACCAGGUGUUUAAUAGGUGGCUAAGUGAAUAGGCUUUCCA